UAAACUAGGAUUAGAUACCCUAUUACUCUAAAAUCAUCACCAGAUAAUCAAUUUUCAAUUAACAAAAUUGGCGGUUCUUUUACUUUUUAGAGGAGUUUGUUUCAUCAAGGAUAUUACCCCAAAGAAUUUACUUUAAUUCAGGUUUUUAUAUCGCUGUUGUUAAAAUAUGAUUGAAUUUCAUAUUUAAAAUGUAAGAUUUAAAGAACUUCAAGUCUAGAUGAAGCUAUAUUAAAGUGAAAAUGAACUACAAUAAAAAAUUUUACUACGGAGAGAGAAAUUUAACUUCUCUGGAAGGUGGAUUUAAAAGUAAAUUUGAUGAAACUUUGAAUCAGGAUCAAAAGAAUGCACAUAUCGC
rnacentral:rRNA from 1 species